rnacentral:rRNA from 1 species
UGGGGAAUAUUGGACAAUGGGGGCAACCCUGAUCCAGCAAUGCCGCGUGUGUGAAGAAGGUUUUCGGAUUGUAAAGCACUUUCGACGGGGACGAUGAUGACGGUACCCGUAGAAGAAGCCCCGGCUAACUUCGUGCCAGCAGCCGCGGUAAUACGAAGGGGGCUAGCGUUGCUCGGAAUGACUGGGCGUAAAGGGCGUGUAGGCGGUUUGUACAGUCAGAUGUGAAAUCCCCGGGCUUAACCUGGGAGCUGCAUUUGAUACGUGCAGACUAGAGUGUGAGAGAGGGUUGUGGAAUUCCCAGUGUAGAGGUGAAAUUCGUAGAUAUUGGGAAGAACACCGGUGGCGAAGGCGGCAACCUGGCUCAUAACUGACGCUGAGGCGCGAAAGCGUGGGGGAGC